UCCUACGGGAGGCAGCAGUGGGGAAUAUUGGGCAAUGGAGGGAACUCUGACCCAGCGACGCCGCGUGCGGGAUGAAGGCCUUCGGGUUGUAAACCGCUUUCAGCAAGGAAGAAGCGAAAGUGACGGUACUUGCAGAAGAAGCACCGGCUAACUAUGUGCCAGCAGCCGCGGUAAUACAUAGGGUGCAAGCGUUGUCCGGAAUUAUUGGGCGUAAAGAGCUCGUAGGUGGUUCGUCACGUCGGAUGUGAAAAUCUGGGGCUUAACCCCAGACCUGCAUUCGAUACGGGUGAGCUAGAGUGUGGUAGGGGAGACUGGAAUUCCUGGUGUAGCGGUGGAAUGCGCAGAUAUCAGGAGGAACACCAAUGGCGAUGGCAGGUCUCUGGGCCAUUACUGACACUGAGGAGCGAAAGCGUGGGGAGCGAACAGGAUUAGAUACCCUGGUAGUCCACGCCGUAAACGGUGGGCACUAGUUGUGGGAACCUUCCACGGUUUCUGCGACGCAGCUAACGCAUUGAGUGCCCCGCCUGGGGAGUACGAUCGCAAGAUUAAAACUCAAAGGAAUUGACGGGG
rnacentral:rRNA from 1 species